AAUUAAUGAAGUGCCCAAUUUUUUUCAGCCACUAAAUUCAAAUUAGGUUUGAGCGCCCAUUAUUUGCGAUUGUUCUACCUGCUUCGUUCUUUGUUCUCUGCGUUUGUUCUUUGUUCAACGCCUGCUUCAUUUUUUUGGUUUACAAAAUCGAUUCAGCACCCAAUAUCAAUUCUACUAAAAUAAGCUGCUUGAUUCGUUCACUGGUUCGUUCUCCUUCGUUUGCCUUCAUUUCAAGUUGCGUGAUUCAUUCCUGCUUCCUGCUGCUGCCAUGGCAAUGGGGCAAGAAAACAGACAAAAUGCAGUUCAAGUAGCAAAGAAACUCUAUGAUCUGUUUUUUGUGUACACCCACUUGUAAAAAAACUCUCAUUAGUAAAUGUAAUUUUGUGCAAGCAAUAGUAGUAUUACUUUUUGAUCAUAUGUGAUCAUAUAUGUAAGUGUAGUAGUGGAUGUUAUGUAAAAAAAUAUUUUCUAAUUAGUGUACGUAUUAUUCAAUGUAUAUUAUAUAUUAUAGCCUUGAAUGACCUCUAUAAAUAUAUAUUAUAUUAAU